AACACCGAAUAUGAACUAUAAAACAAACAUGUAUAAUAUUAAAAAUUAAUAAUUUUAAAAUAUACUAUUUUUCGAUAGCAAUGCUGAAUCAACGUAAGCAGUCCUUUUGUGUAAAGAAAGAAAGAAAAAGAAAAAGAAUAAAAAAAAAUUGAAAGAGAAGAAAGUCCAAUGGAAUCUCCAAACGAUGAUUCUUUAUAAAAAGGUUAAGAGGAUGGUGGCCUUCCAUAUCACGAAGGACAAUUAUUGAGACCACCCAAAUUUUUAAUUGCAAAAUUUAUCUAUUUUAUAAUCGAA
rnacentral:lncRNA from 1 species